GAAGGUACAGCUCAGUGGUAGAGCACGUGCUUAGCAUGCACAAGGUCCUGGUUACAAUCCCCAGUACCUCUA
rnacentral:tRNA from 1 species